rfam:Frankia sp. Cc1.17 contig_43, whole genome shotgun sequence.
GGAGAGGUUUCCGUAGCGGCCUAACGGGGCCCGGGCUUCGGUCUGGGAGGAUCUCUGAUCCACGUAGGUUCGAAUCCUGCCCUCUCCG